UUUUGUUUAUUUUUGGUUUAAGCAUUAGACACCUUUUUACCUGCACCCUGCCUCCCGCUGUUCCCAACAUCUACAAAGCAAUUAGCUCCCGGGCUGCCACCUACUGAUAUGGAAGAGUAUUGCACAGUUACUCUGCCGAGCUCUAGACAACACCGACACUCAACAACAACACAUAAUUUGCAGACUUUAAUUACUGGUUUGCAUAAAACAUUUUUAACCAAAAUAGGUGAAAUUAGAUCAUCUCCCACGGCACGCCAGACUGUAUCUCACGGCACUAGUUGAAAAACACUGCUCUAAGGUGCCAAUUUUGCGAGAGCUGCGUUUGAAAGUGUUGAGGGUUACCCACAGUCACUCAAGAGUUAAGUCUGUUGAUGCUGCUGGAAACAGGAAUGGAAGAACAGAAAAAAGCCAAGUAGCAGUGUGUUGACGGUUAACUUGGGCAAACAGUGUAAACAUGUAAUAUUUACACUGUAUCAUACCUGCCAACCUUGAAUAAAUGUUAGGAGUACUACCCAGCCAGAGCCACCCGGCUUAUGGACCAAAUGUCAAGGUAUUUUUCUCGAUUUUCACGGGAGGUAAUUUACAGCUCCCCCCAUGGCAGAUGCACAGGCAGGAAAUGAUGGUGAGACAAAAAGGACACGUCCUGACAACCUACCAGGUACAUGGGGACGGAGUGGGAUGCCACGAACUUGGCCCCGUACACCACGCCAUCGGUCCAUCGCACUGAUACCGCAGCGCCUUCUGCCGGUGGGCCCAGUCGAACACAGUCCCGGUUCU